rnacentral:rRNA from 1 species
ACACAUGCAAGUCGAACGAAGCAAUCUUGAAACCUAGUGAUGGAUUGACUGAGUGGCGGACGGGUGAGUAACGCGUGGGUAACCUGCCUCAUACAGGGGGACAACAGUUAGAAAUGACUGCUAAUACCGCAUAACCCGCUAGGGCCGCAUGGCCCGGACGGAAAAGGAGCAAUCCGGUAUGAGAUGGACCCGCGUCUGAUUAGCUGGUUGGUGGGGUAACGGCCUACCAAGGCAACGAUCAGUAGCCGAACUGAGAGGUUGACCGGCCACAUUGGGACUGAGACACGGCCCAAACUCCUACGGGAGGCAGCAGUGGGGAAUAUUGCACAAUGGGGGAAACCCUGAUGCAGCGACGCCGCGUGAGUGAAGAAGUAUUUCGGUAUGUAAAGCUCUAUCAGCAGGGAAGAAAAUGACGGUACCUGACUAAGAAGCCCCGGCUAACUACGUGCCAGCAGCCGCGGUAAUACGUAGGGGGCAAGCGUUAUCCGGAUUUACUGGGUGUAAAGGGAGCGUAGGUGGUAUGGCAAGUCAGAGGUGAAAACCCAGGGCUUAACCUUGGGAUUGCCUUUGAAACUGUCAGACUAGAGUGCAGGAGGGGUAAGUGGAAUUCCUAGUGUAGCGGUGAA